rnacentral:rRNA from 1 species
UACGGAGGAUGCGAGCGUUAUCCGGAUUUAUUGGGUUUAAAGGGUGCGUAGGCGGGAUUAUAAGUCAGCGGUGAAAGUUUGAGGCUCAACCUUAAAAUUGCCGUUGAAACUGUUUUUCUUGAGUAUAUUUGAAGUAGGCGGAAUUCGUGGUGUAGCGGUGAAAUGCAUAGAUAUCACGAAGAACUCCGAUUGCGAAGGCAGCUUACUAAACUAUAACUGACGCUGAAGCACGAAAGCGUGGGUAUCAAACAGG